AUUGAACGCUGGCGGAAUGCUUUACACAUGCAAGUCGAACGGUAGAGGGGGCAACCCCUUGAGAGUGGCGAACGGGUGAGUAAUAUAUCGGAACGUGCCCAGUCGUGGGGAUAACGUAGCGAAAGUUACGCUAAUACCGCAUACGAUCUAAGGAUGAAAGCGGGGGACUCGCAAGAGCCUCGCGCGAUUGGAGCGGCCGAUAUCAGAUUAGGUAGUUGGUGGGGUAAAGGCUCACCAAGCCAACGAUCUGUAGCUGGUCUGAGAGGACGAUCAGCCACACUGGAACUGAGACACGGUCCAGACUCCUACGGAGGCAGCAGUGAGGAAUUUUGGACAAUGGGCGCAAGCCUGAUCCAGCAAUGCCGCGUGCAGGAUGAAGGCC
rnacentral:rRNA from 1 species